GUACUCUAGUGGCAAAACUGCUGGCUAGUGUACCUGUUCUGCCAAAAGUAAAAUGGGCUUACUGAGGAAAUUAAAUUUAUGUUCAAGUGCUAUUUCUUUAUGCACCGGGGAACAAGCAUUUCUAACAACCUGGUCCUACGUGGCUGAAACUGGAUCCCAGAAGCCCCGUCCUUCCCGAAGCUCGUAGCGGAAGUGACAUCAGCCCGCCGCCACUAUCUUUUCCCGCGCUGGCUGCCCACGGUCAGUGCUGUUUCACCUUUAUCUUGGUGGAGUCGACCCCGGCUGUGGACUUCAAAUAACCCUGUACAAAGAGGAAUGGAGAUUGCCUCUAUUCACCUAGAUUCAUAAGUUGCCCUGAGGCAAUCUUGGCAUCAAGGAAGAGAGCAUUGAGGCACAACUGACCAUCAGCUUCAGAGAAUGGCAGUCACUGAUUUGUCCCAUGGGUUUUUUCCCAGGGAACCAAUCUGCCCUUUUGAAGAAAAGACAAAGAUAGGAACGAUGGUGGAGGACUACCUGGCAAAUUCUUAUCAGGAUUCAGUGACGUUUGAUGAUGUGGCUGUGGAGUUCACCCCAGAGGAGUGGGCUUUACUGGACACAACUGAGAAAUGCCUCUACAGAGAUGUGAUGUUGGAGAACUAUGUGAACCUGGCCUCUGUGGCAGACAAGAAGCUACAGUGGAUGGAAACUCUGAGAAUUGUGGAGAGGUCUUCAGUGAAUGGUUUUGCCUUAAAACACACAUGAGAGCUCAGAAUGGAGGGAACAUCUUUGAGGGUAAUUGUUAUGGAAAAGACAUCCUCAGUGUGCACAAGGAAGCCUCUAUUGGACAGGAACUUUCCAAAUUUAAUCCAUGUGGAAAAGUCUUCACCUUAACUCCAGAUCUUGCUGCACAUCUUGGAAUUCUCAAUGCAAGACAACCAUACAAAUGUAAGGAAUGUAGAAAAGGCUUUAAGUAUUUUGCAAGCCUUGAUAAUCACAUGGGAAUCCACAUUGGAGAGAAAUUCUGUGAAUUUCAGGAAUGUAGGAGAGCCAUCACUCAUUCCUCACACCUAAAGCAGUGUGUAACAGUUCAUACUGGAAAGAAAUCUAAAAAGACUAAGAAACAUGGGAAAUCCUUCACUAAUUUUUCUCAACUUUCUGCACAUGUGAAAAUUCAUAAAGGAGAGAAGUCCUUUGAAUGUAAAGAAUGUGGAAGAUCCUUUAGAAAUUCCUCAUCCUUUAAUGUUCACAUUCAAAUUCACACUGGAAUAAAACCACACAAAUAUACGGAAUGUGGGAAAGCCUUCACUAGGUCAACUCACCUUACUCAACAUGUAAGAACUCACACUGGAAUAAAACCCUAUGAAUGUAAGGAA
rnacentral:lncRNA from 1 species